rnacentral:snRNA from 1 species
GGAUGUGAGGACGAUCUGGCUGAGAUAUCUGUCACCCCAUUGAUCGCCAAGGUUGAUUCGGCUGAUCUGGCUGGCUAGGCAGGUGUCCCCUUCCUCUCUCACUGCUCAGUGUGUGUCCCUCCUGAAGCUACCCGUAGGUCUAAGAGGACGGCCUAUCCGGAAUACUCUUAGGUCAAGGGUAUAGGAGUGGCUGCACUACAGCCUAUCCGGAAUACUCUUAGGUCAAGGGUAUAGGAGUGGCUGCACUCCCCUGCUAGAACCUCCUAACAAGCUCUCAAGAAUGGGAAAGCUAUCAGGGGGAGGGGAUGGGAUACAGCGUUCUGGUGGUGGGAAUUGUGUGUUGUAUGCCUUUUAUC